rnacentral:misc_RNA from 1 species
ACACCUCAACUCUCAUGGUUUGCCGUGAUGAGCUUGGACUUUGGAGGUUUUGCUGGCAUCUGUGGUCAGCUCCUCUCAAAUGAAUCAGCUUGCUAGUGAUUGGUGGCACUGUGGGUGUGAUAACUAUCUACGCCCAUGGGUGUCCACCAGGCAACCUUCAGCGAUGGAGGUUCACAGGGGCUUAGAAACGUCUCUUCUCGGUGAGGGACAGCAUUUGAAC